UAGGGAAUCUUCCACAAUGGACGCAAGUCUGAUGGAGCAACGCCGCGUGAGUGAAGAAGGUUUUCGGAUCGUAAAGCUCUGUUGUUGGUGAAGAAGGAUAGAGGCAGUAACUGGCCUUUAUUUGACGGUAAUCAACCAGAAAGUCACGGCUAACUACGUGCCAGCAGCCGCGGUAAUACGUAGGUGGCAAGCGUUGUCCGGAUUUAUUGGGCGUAAAGCGAGCGCAGGCGGAAGAAUAAGUCUGAUGUGAAAGCCCUCGGCUUAACCGAGGAACUGCAUCGGAAACUGUUUUCUUGAGUGCAGAAGAGGAGAGUGGAACUCCAUGUGUAGCGGUGGAAUGCGUAGAUAUAUGGAAGAACACCAGUGGCGAAGGCGACUCUCUGGUCUGCAACUGACGCUGAGGCUCGAAAGCAUGGGUAGCGAACAGGAUUAGAUACCCUGGUAGUCCAUGCCGUAAACGAUGAGUGCUAAGUGUUGGGAGGUUUCCGCCUCUCAGUGCUGCAGCUAACGCAUUAAGCACUCCGCCUGGGGGAGUACGACCGC
rnacentral:rRNA from 1 species